GAUGAACGCUGGCGGCGUGCCUAAUACAUGCAAGUCGAGCGAACGGACGAGAAGCUUGCUUCACUGGUGUUAGCGGAGGACGGGUGAGUAACACGUGGAUAACCUACCUAUAAGACUGGGAUAACUUCGGGAAACCGGAGCUAAUACCGGAUAAUAUUUUGAACCGCAUGGUUCAAAAGUGAAAGACGGUCUUGCUGUCACUUAUAGAUGGAUCCGCGCUGCAUUAGCUAUUUGGUAAGGUAACGGCUUACCAAGGCAACGAUGCAUAGCCGACCUGAGAGGGUGAUCGGCCACACUGGAACUGAGACACGGUCCAGACUCCUACGGGAGGCAGCAGUAGGGAAUCUUCCGCAAUGGGCGAAAGCCUGACGGAGCAACGCCGCGUGAGUGAUGAAGGUCUUCGGAUCGUAAAACUCUGUUAUUAGGGAAGAACAUAUGUGUAAGUAACUGUGCACAUCUUGACGGUACCUAAUCAGAAAGCCACGGCUAACUACGUG
rnacentral:rRNA from 1 species